rnacentral:lncRNA from 1 species
CGAAAAGGAUGUUAUUUCUAUUGCUCCUAGAUACAUGCAAGACUUAUUAUGAAGAUUCAGUGACACAUACAUAUUUACAGUGAGUUAAUUAGAUAAUUUUUAAGAGAACAUUUACCAUGACAACAUCAAAUGUUGUGACAAUUUUGUGUAUUUUUAGAGCUAUUGUCCUAUUAAAGGGAGCUAUCAUUUGAUUUUUAGAAUGUAGGACAGAAAGUCACAGGACAAAAAGUCACAAUUCAUUUUUUCUGAUUAUUUUCUUUGAAUUGAAAAAAAACCGCUUAUUCUACAAAAAUAUUUUUGUAUUUUUCUUGAACUAUUGUAUAUAAACCAACUUUGUUAACAAAAUUUAUCAAAAAAAUAUCAAAGAUGAUCAAAUAAUUGUUAAAAAAACAAAAUAUCAAAGUGGUUUGGCACUUAAAUCUAUCUAUCUAUCUUCCCGUCAAGGAGUGGACUCAUAUUUGAGUGUAUAUACUCCAGCGUGAGUGAACAGCUAAAAACCUUCAAGUAUGUACAGUUAAAAAGAGAUCUGUAUGUACUGUUAAAAACGGUGCUGUAAUGGCUUCAUGGUGCCAAGAAAUUUUUUUUUGCCUGAUUAAAGUUAAAUAAAUCUUGAUUUUUCAAAAUAUUUCUCUUAUAUAUUCAAACAAUUGUCACCAAAUUAUUUGUGACUUUUUGUCCUAUCAAAUUUGUGACUUUAUGUCCUGUGACUUUUUGUCCUGUGACUUUCUGUCCGUUUACCGAUUUUUAUGGGGGGGCUAGGAUGAAAAAUGUUGUCCUGCAUUUUGUUUUACAUGUUAUCUCUGUCCUGCCUUUUUAUUUUUCACUCUUUUCGGUCCUGCCUUUUUUUCUUAGUUUAUCUUGCUUGACAUUUUUUACAUCAAGUGUCAUCCUACCUUUUUUUUUGCCGAGUUGCUCAUCCUGCCUUUUUUUUUACUCAAACUCAAAACUCCUGUCCUGCUUUUUUUUCAAAUUUCAUCAAAGCCCCCCCCCCCCCCCAAAAAAAAAAAGUCAAUGGUAGCUCCCUAAAUGCAUGAAACAGAUUAAAACUUUGGUGGUUUGCUUGCUUUGACUGUAUAAACGUACCGUACCGUUCAAUUUGACUAUUUGAUAAUGUGUAAUCAAAUCUAAAUAAAAUGUAUACAGGAUUAUCUCCGCCUAGAAUUAUUGCUUGCAUACAUGUAUGUCAAUUAAAUAAAUAAUUAGAAAAUUAGCUCUAAUAUUCAAGUACUUCAGUCCCUGACAAUGAAAUUAAAUAACAUUUAUACAACCUGAUUUUUAUUUGGGUGGGGUGGGGGGGGGGAGGGGCAGAAGUAUUUUGAAAUGAAAAUCCUUUCACGGUAAGAGAUGCACACAAGUCAAGAUGAAAAUUAAAGAUUAUUUUGCAGCUCAAAAUGCACGAAACUUGAUGUGUCCAAAUUUAAAAGUGAAAAUAAUAACAAAUUUAACAUGUUUAACAGCAACCUUACCCAUGCCAACAAAAUGCACGAAACUUGAUGUGUCCAAAUUUAAAAGUGAAAAUAAUAACAAAUUUAACAUGUUUAACAGCAACCUUACCCAUGCCAACAAACUAUAAUUAAAUUCAAAUAUUUUGUCCAAUUUCUUGAGUUAACUUGUUUUUAUUUCCAUUUUUAAGAAUAUAUAAGAUGGGGAAAGAAAAACAAAUGUGUGCAUACAAAAAACAACUUUAUAUUUGGUUAGAAUAUAUGUGAAUGGUUAUGAUAAAACUUCUCUCAAAUUAUUUUGUUUCUUCCCAUCACAUGAUGUUUCCGUAAAUAUUAACGGAAAAAUUCAUAAAGCUUGCAGUUUUCUUUGUUUUUAUAAAAUGGUACAUGAGGUAAUUGUGUCGUUGUAGCAUAAAUAAUCUUGUGUAAUUCAUUUAUAUUUCUUGAUUUUAUGCAUUCCAAAACAUGUGCGAAUUUGGAAUCCUUCUCAAAAACUUAUUUUUUUUGUGGCCAAAACAUUGAGGCCUCUAGGUCAUUCAGGGAUAUAACUCAAUAGGGUUAUUACAGAAAAUAGCUUGAAUGUGUUAUUACAGAAAAUAACUUGAAUGUGUUAUUACAGAUACUUUCAUGAGAUGUCUACCUAUACUCUCUAUUCCUUAAAUUUUCUAAUUCUGUAAUAACAUAUGUUUGAUAUUUGUAAAAUAAAUUAAAAAUAUUUUAAUCUACAUGUAUAGUGGGCUCUAGGGAACUCUUGAGAAUUUGCGCAGAAACUAAAGUAGAACUUUUCGUAAAGGGGGAGUGGGCUGCUGACUAACCUAAGGGGGGGGGGUUGCUCCAGUCAUGCUUCAGUGAUUCCCUAUAUAAUCAACCAAAUAUUUUACACGAUAGAACUUGUAUGCAUUUUAACUAAACUAAUGAUGUAUAUAUAUUGUCCCUUUGAAACAUGUAACAUACAUAUGUUAUCACAGUUCUUUGAUUUUUUAAUCCACAAUAACAAAUGUAUGUUCUUUUCUGUAAUAAGUUAAUAACCCUAUAGAUUUAUAUCCCUGACUGAAGGAUUGCACCUAACAGUAUAGGGAGAUAACUCUGUAAAAGCAGCUAAACGUCUUAAUAACAUUGUAUUGUUAAGGAAAUAUUUAAGAAGCUUCUCAAUGAUCAAAAUUAAUGUUUGUCAAACUGCUAUAUAUCCAAUGAAAUUUUUUCAGAGAAAGUGUGUGGUUCAAGUUUUUUGAAAUUUUUAUAUUUUUGUCAAAGGGUCAAAAUUAAUAUUUUGUCAAAAUUUUAUGAAAAUUAAAUGAGCCAAAUUAAUUUUAGACAAGGUGUUUGGUACCACCUUAAUGCCCCUUAAUUCCCCUUAUAUCAUUAUGUACAUUAUGUCUCCUGUACCUAAGACUCAUGGUCAUAUCUGCAUUCUUUUAGUACAAUGUUGGUGCAUCUUAUUGCUCUUUAAGGGCAAUUUCUUAUAGAUAGCUUUCUGUCCACAGUGAUCUAUAAUAACAGUCUGGUAAUUCUAAUAAUAUUUUAAUGUGCCUGUCACAAGACAGGGGUCUCAUUGGUAGCUGUCCUAUGUCCUUUCUUAAUACAUGUAUGUUUCUCUCUUAAUUUGGAAAAUAGGUUUUUUUGUGGCAGAGCAUCACCAUGUCAUUCAUUUUGUUAAUAUUCAUAACUUUGGAUGAUUAACAGUUAAAUAAUGAUUUAGAAUUGAAAAGUUCACUUUGUUAGACAUUAUUAAAAACUUAUAAUGAUCUAAAAUAACAUUAUUUCUGCUUAAUUAAGAAGAGAGUCCAAUAGAUAUAGGAAGAUGUGGUGUGAGUGCCAAUGAGACAACUCUCCAUACAAAUAACAAUUUAAAAAGUAAACCAUUAUCGGUUAAAGUACGAUAGAAUGUAUAAAUAUAUAUUUAUUUAGAAUUCCUUGAUUUAAUUUUAUUAUGUAGUAGUGUCAUUUGAGCAAUGUGACAUUGCAGCAAUAUAAAGACUAGAUCAUACCUCGUUAUUUUUAAGUCAAAGUUAUUUAAGAAAUAUUUUACAAUGAGAAGCAUUAUAAAAAGUCAUAGCAUCUAUCUUCACUAAGGGAAAUAAUCCCUUUGUUGUUAUACCCCCGCUUUAAAAAAGGGGGGGUAUACUGUUUUACCUCUGUCUGUCAGUCCGUCCGUCAGUCCGUCGUACCGUCCAUCAGUCCGUCCGUCCGUCAGUCAGUCCGUCCCAUGAAACUUUCGUCACAUUUUUCUCAGGAACUACACAUCCACCCUUUCUGUAAUUUGGUAUCAACAUUUAUAUAUGUCAGCCAUACCGUGUGAUGCGUUUUCAGAUUCAUCACUUGACAACUUCCUGUUUACCGAACACUUGUCUGAUUUUACACAUGAUAGCCAAGUUGAAAAUUUCCAUCACAUUUUUCUCAGGAACUACAAUACAAGGAUUUCUGAAAUUUGGUUUCAGGAUUUAUAUAAGUCAGCAUACCGUGUGAUGCGUUUUUCAUUCAUCACUCGACAACUUCCUGUUACCGAACACUUGCAUAUUUUACACUAUUAAUAUUAUCCACUUGCGGCGGGGGUAUCAUCCGUGAGCAGUAGCUCGCAGUUUCACUUGUUUCAUUUGUCUUGCACAUGUGGGACCAAGCACCUUUAAUAUAUGUGAUGAUAAUACUUUCACAAGACUCAUGAGAAUAAAAUUAAUGCUUAUCCUUCUUUAGACAGCAAUAUGUAUAUAAAUAUUUUUAAUUUAGAGUACAACUUGAUACAUGAAAUACAAUGUAUUGCUAUUUUAAAAAUAUGGAAUUUUGUCUAUAGAAUGGGACAUUAGAUAAAACUUAAAGUUUACUCGUGCCAAGUAUUUCUUUUUUGAAAUACAGAUAAAAAGUGCAAAUUUAACAGACAAAUGGUUAAAAUCAAUGGUGAUAUUUACACCUACAAAUGUUACAUGUAUAUAGUGUAUUUGUUUAAAGUUAAUUUUAACAUGUUUAAGCAGGAAAAUGACUGAAAUGCUGAAAAGAGGUUUCAAUUAUUUAGAAGACUAGUUAUUAGCUAAAGUGAAAAUAACUUGCUAUCUAUUGUGUAUAUGAACUGCUGACCAACAACAAUAGUUGACCAUUGAAUUUUAUGUUAAAUCUAACAAUUGAAAUCUGUUCACUGAGGCAUAACUGAGUGGAAUUUACCUGAUCAUAACAGCUUUUAAAUAUGAUGAGUCCAAUUUUCAGUCACUUGAGCAGUAAACUAGACAUGUGCAUAUUGAAUAAAGUAGGUACCUAUACAUUUACAUCAAUUAGUGCACCCAUUGCUGCAGGUUAAUGCCAUAAUAAGAAGAAAAUAAUGUGCUUUUGCCAUUUUCUGCUUUAGAUACAAAUAAAUGGUCUCAAUCUGUUUUAAAUACAGAGUAUUGGAAAUUAGAGAUUUGUCUCCAAUUGUAUAAUAAUAUUAGAAUAAUUUCAUUAUUUGUGUCAAUAUUUAUUGACUGUUUGAAUCAUUUGUUUUCAGGCUUCUAUAUAGCUAAGUUAUUUACAAACCAUUGUGGCUAACAACUCCAGACAAAACACUGUGACGGCAACAUGAGACAACACAUUUAGCAGGCAACACUAGACAAAACACUGUGACAGCAACACUAGACAACACACUAGCAGGCAACACCAUACAAGAUGAUGGAAUGACAGAGGUUUUUCCAUGGUAAGCAUCUUUUGUAAUUCAUUCCCUCAUUGUCUCUCAACCUUAUUAUAAUCAGGGGUCAGGUUAUUUAGUUAAAACAAAAAGUCUAUUCCUUAAAUGUCAAUGUAUUGAUUGAUUCAUUGGUGUUUAAAGGCCACUUAGCCAGCUAAAGUGCCUGGAGAGAAUCGACAACAUCUAGUUGAAAAAUUUACAAUCCUGUUAAUUCAAAUAUUAUUCGAGUGUAUCUGCCACAAGUGGGAUUCAAACUCACAACCUCCGUGAGUAUUGACAGGCUAGUUGUACAGUAGUUGACUAUUUGGACACCUCGGCCAUCUAGGCCCCUAAUAUCAAUUUAAGAUUAAUCAUACAUGUACAUGUAAAGUCUUGUCCUCAAUUUCAGUGCUACAUCUACAAAAUGUAGCUAUGAAAAAAAGUGCAUACUAUUUUGGUUUUGCCUUCAGCAUCCUACAGUAGCUAUAGGUUGCAAAAAUUUAGAUUACUAUAUAUAGUUAAUAUUUAUACACCCAAUAUAGACAAUGGGGGCAUUAAGUACUACUCUUGAGGUCUGUCUUUCUGUAUCCGUCUGUCCCAUUUUCCCUUCCGCACUCUUAACUUAAGUUGCCUUAUACAAUUUUAUAAAACUCAUACACGAUGAACAGAACCACAACACACAUAGUUUGAAUUAGGGCAGUGCGUCAUUAAUUGUUCUAGAGUUAUGUCCCUUUUUUACUUGGUUAAUUGCAAAGCUUGAGUGUCCUCAAACACAUUCUCAUUAAUCUUUUAUUAUUUAUGCAUCAAUUACUUUAUUUUUUCUUGGAAUAUUUAUUGUCAAACAGAAGCUUUUUCAUUUGAUGAUAAUAAAAAAAAGUAUCCCAAACAAUUGCUUAGGCAGCAACCAUUUGAUUUUCGGAAGGGGGGGGCUAUGGAUUUGUGUUCCGUACAAACUUUUUUUUUGCAUUUGGCAAUAACCAGAAAUCUGGCAAUUAGCAACAGCAUAGAGUAUUGCAUGCAAGCAAAAAAUUGAAUAUAAAUUCAAUUCAUAUAACCAAUUUGAAGUUCUUUGACUACAGCUAUUCUGUGUCAGAAACCUAUUAUGUCUCAAAAAUCUAAUUACAAUCCAAAAUCAGACCUGUAUCUAGCGUGAAUAUUGUGUCCAUUUUGGCCCCAACUUUUCAGGGUUGGACAUCUGCAGUAGUAUCCAGCUGCGCUCAGCGAAGCAACUUAUUUGCCUAUGCAUUGACUUGGUUUUGGCAUCUUUUUAUGUCUUUACGUGUCAACAUUUUAUUUAUUAGUUAUUGGCUAAGUUGAACUAGCUUUCAGUAAUUGGGAUUAAUCUAAGAUAUUUACUGUGUGUCUUAAUUUAGUGUUUUUUGUAUCGAUCUGAUGAGUUCAGCCCUUUUGAACAGAUUUUAACAGAUUUAUGGUUAUUGAUUUUGGAAUGUACUAGGAGUGGGCAUCCAAUGGCGGCCAGGUGUCUGCUAAGCAGUACUGUCAAUGCAUUUACUAAUGAACCGUUUUACCGAUCAGGAGUUGCGGUUCUGGAAAGAUGGAAAAUUGGUGUUUCCAGUUGUGUUCAUGCUUUAAAAAGUUAUGAACUGUUCAACCUAAGCUUUUAAAAUUUAGAUAUGUUGUUACUGUUGACAAAAUGGAGGUCAAGUAAGAUAUUGACUAUUUUCACUUUCACUGUAUGUUUAGGAGUUGCAUUUUAUUGAAAGAUUGAAAAAAUGAUUUUUCCAGUCCUGUCUGUACGUGCUUUUACUCCUGAACCCUUCAGUCAAAGUUUUUGAAAGAUUUAAAAAGGGUGUUAUAAUGAUGAUUGUCACUUUUUACGUUCAUUGCUUAUGGUCCUUCUGAUAUUGAAAAAUGUCAGGACACAAAUAAAUAUUAAAAAAUCUGGUUUGCUGUCAAGUGCUCUGACAGCCUCUUGUUAUAGUUUGUACAUUGUACUUAAAAUAAUAAUGUUAUGCUGUUGAACUGCUGUUAAACCACUUAGUUUGUUUAAGUUUGUUCUAUAUAUAAUAAUUUAUGCUGUUUAACCACUUAGUUACCAACCUCAAUCGAGUAAGUUGGAGGAUUGUUAACCACUUAGUGUCCCAAUCGAGCAAGUGGGAGAAUUGGAUGCCAGUAAACAUGUUUAACCCCACCACAUUUUAAUAUGCUUGUUCCUAAUCAGAAGCCCUGUAAUAUGGGGGUGGUUGUUUGUUGCUGUAUAUCAUAUUUGUUUAACAGUCAAAAGGCUAUUUGGUGACCUAUUGUUGUUAACUUCUACGUCUUUUGGUCUCUGGUGGAGAAAAGUCUCAUUGGCAAUAUACAUGUACCACUUCUUCCAGUGGCGGAUCCAGAACUUUUCCUAAGGGGGGCCCACUCCAGUCAUGCUUCAGUGAUUCCCUAUAUAAUCAACCAAAUUUUUCCCACGAAAGGGGGGCCCCCCUGGAUCCGCCUAUGUCUUCUGAUAUUCAUAUUUAUUCUUUUUUAUAAAUUUAUUCUUAUUUAUAAUGUAUGUUUAAAAUUGACUCAUUUUGUCUGUGGUUAAUGAAGAGGAUUUAUCAAUCAAAACUUUCACAUAUUUUGUGUUUAUGAUUAAGCAAAUAUAAUUUUUGAGAGCAUUUGAUGUCUCUUUUAAUGAGUAAUUUUUAGGUAAUAAAGGGGCAUAAUUCUAGAACAAUAAGUGACUCACAUCUCAAAGACUUUUUACAAGUUUUGGUUCUGAGCAUUGCAUAUCAGUUUCUCAAUUUUUAUGCCCCAUUUAUGGGCAUUAUGUUUUCUGGUCUGCGCGUCCGUCUGUCUGUUCGUUUAUGCCCCAUUUAUGGGCAUUAUGUUUUAUGGUCUGUGCGUCUGUCCGUCUGUCCGUUUGUUCGUUUGUCUGUUCGUCCCAGGUUAAAGUUUUUGGUCGAGGUAGUUUUUUAUGAAGUUGAAGUCCAAUCAACUUGAAAUUUAGUACACAUGUUCCCUAUGAUAUGAUCUUUCUAAUUUUAAUGCCAAAUUAGAGAUUUCCCCCCAUUUUCACGGUCCAUUAAACAUAGAAAAUGAUAGUGCAGAUGGGGCAUCCGUGUACUGGGGACACGUUCUUGUUUUAGCAUUAACUUGGCCUAACUGCAGAAACCAGCAUAUGCAUGUACCUUGGAAAUAAAAAAAUAUAUGAGUUAUUUCCCCAAUUGACUUGGGUAUAUCAAAGGCUCUUUAUAUCAUAGCUCAGUUUAAAUAUCUGUAAGUGUUGAGAUCAUUUCAAACUUGACAUAUACUUUUAACGCUGUUUAAAUUGAGUUUUUAUAAAAUGUGUAGUCAUUAUUAACAUGAAUAGGCUUAAACAUAUUGUUUUCUUUAUAUAUGAUAUUUGUAAUCGGAUGCUUUUCCUAAGUUGGAUAUGGUACCUAUUCAAUUAUAUCAGUGGUUUACAAAUCUGCAGUUUUCUAAUAAUUGAAUUAUUUUUAUAUUGUAGAUGAUGUUUUUGGGAUAUAGCUGCAUUUAAAAGAAGGGGACAGCUGUAGAUGAAACUUUUGAGGUAGAA